GAUGAACGCUGGCGGCGUGCCUAAUACAUGCAAGUCGAGCGAACAGACGAGGAGCUUGCUCCUCUGACGUUAGCGGCGGACGGGUGAGUAACACGUGGAUAACCUACCUAUAAGACUGGGAUAACUUCGGGAAACCGGAGCUAAUACCGGAUAAUAUAUUGAACCGCAUGGUUCAAUAGUGAAAGACGGUUUUGCUGUCACUUAUAGAUGGAUCCGCGCCGCAUUAGCUAGUUGGUAAGGUAACGGCUUACCAAGGCGACGAUGCGUAGCCGACCUGAGAGGGUGAUCGGCCACACUGGAACUGAGACACGGUCCAGACUCCUACGGGAGGCAGCAGUAGGGAAUCUUCCGCAAUGGGCGAAGGCCUGACGGAGCAACGCCGCGUGAGUGAUGAAGGUCUUCGGAUCGUAAAACUCUGUUAUUAGGGAAGAACAAAUGUGUAAGUAACUAUGCACGUCUUGACGGUACCUAAUCAGAAAGCCACGGCUAACUACGUG
rnacentral:rRNA from 1 species